GUUUCCGUAGGUGAACCUGCGGAAGGAUCAUUACCUAGAGUUUGUAGACUUCGGUCUGCUACCUCUUACCCAUGUCUUUUGAGUACCUUCGUUUCCUCGGCGGGUCCGCCCGCCGAUUGGACAACAUUCAAACCCUUUGCAGUUGCAAUCAGCGUCUGAAAAAACAUAAUAGUUACAACUUUCAACAACGGAUCUCUUGGUUCUGGCAUCGAUGAAGAGCGCAGCGAAAUGCGAUAAGCAGUGUGAAUUGCAGAAUUCAGUGAAUCAUCGAAUCUUUGAACGCACAUUGCGCCCCUUGGUAUUCCAUGGGGCAUGCCUGUUCGAGCGUCAUUUGUACCUUCAAGCUCUGCUUGGUGUUGGGUGUUUGUCUCGCCUCUGCGUGUAGACUCGCCUUAAAACAAUUGGCAGCCGGCGUAUUGAUUUCAGAGCGCAGUACAUCUCGCGCUUUGCACUCAUAACGACGACGUCCAAAAAUACAUUUUUACACUCUUGACCUCGGAUCAGGUAGGGAUACCCGCUGAACUUAA
rnacentral:rRNA from 1 species